UGACCUCGGAUCAGGCAGGGAUACCCGCUGAACUUAAGCAUAUCAAUAAGCGGAGGAAAAGAAACCAACAGGGAUUGCCUCAGUAACGGCGAGUGAAGCGGCAACAGCUCAAAUUUGAAAUCUGGCUCUUUUAGGGUCCGAGUUGUAAUUUGUAGAGGAUGCUUCGGCGUCNGCUCCGGUCUAAGUUUCCUUGGAACAGGACGUCAUANAAGGGUGAGAAUCC
rnacentral:rRNA from 1 species